CCUUCAUUCCACUGGAAUCUGU
rnacentral:miRNA from 1 species